AUCUAAGCAAGAUGGACCUAUGCCAAAACC
rnacentral:piRNA from 1 species